UACGGAGGGUGCAAGCGUUAAUCGGAAUUACUGGGCGUAAAGCGCACGUAGGUGGUUUUCUAAGUCAGCUGUGAAAUCCCCGGGCUCAACCUGGGACUUGCAGUUGAAACUGGGAAGCUAGAGUAGGGUAGAGGGGGUGUGGAAUUCCAGGUGUAGCGGUGAAAUGCGUAGAUAUCUGGAGGAACAUCAGUGGCGAAGGCGACACCCUGGACUCAUACUGACACUGAGGUGCGAAAGCGUGGGGAGCAAACAGG
rnacentral:rRNA from 1 species